GGGGGUGGUAAUAUUGGAUGAUGAAUUAAGAUGGAAAUGUCAUAUUGAACAUGUUAGAAAAAAGAUGGUUAAAAAUAUUUAUAUUUCGGGUAAUGUCAGAGAUACUAGAUUUUAAGGCAAUGCAUAUUUUAUAUUUCUCACUAAUUUCCCCCUAUCUCAAUUAUUGUCUUGAAGUGUGGGGGAAUACAUAUGUGAGUAAUAUAAAACCUUUAUACUUGUUACAGUGUUAUGUCUCUCUGCAGCCCUAAUCAUCUCAGUGUGUUCAGCUGGUGCUAAUUGGCCACACCUAGGCAGGUGUGGAUAAAAGCAUACCUGAGGCAAGCUUCCCAGGGAAAGCUCACUUGUCUUUGCCUUGGUGGCACCAGCUAUUUAAGCCAACCUGGUAUUCCAUUUUAAGAUUGUGAGUCAGAAAUGAAGAGAUUCACAUCAGAAUGGACUGAAUUCACCUGCAACUGUCAAAAAACACCUGGAAAAUGUCAAAUGGUCUGUGUAGCUGAUUGUGGCUCAAAAACUGGAAAAAAGACUCUCAGAGUAAUCCUCAAACAAGUUGAGAACAAGGACCCCAAAAGGAAUGAUGACAAAAAAGAACUGAAAUUUAAACUUGAGGAAAAUGGCUGUCCAAAGCAAUUCAAUCAAACUGCAUACAAAAAAGCUAAAACCACCAUCAGAUGCAAUCAUCCUGAAAAUAAAUCUGAGUUGUGGUUUUUCUGCAAAGAGAACUCUUCUGUCUGUAACAACAUUUUAUCAGACAGAAGAUCCUUUCUCACAAACACAUACAGUGUCUCCAUCAGUGACGUGUCCAUUGAGGACAAGGGUGUCUACUGGUGUGGAGUAAAGUUCACUGAGAACAAUCAUCAUGUCGCACUCACAAAAGUAAAAUUGAAAGUUGAAGAGAUUAAAAAUGUCAAAAGAAGCCCAGUUGUUGGACAGAACUUCACUUACUGGUGUAAAUACAACCAGACUGUCUCCUCAACAACAAAGUUCAUCUGUAAGGGAGAAGAUCCAUCCAUAUGUCAAGCUCUCGUAAACACCAGGCAGCCUGGUGUGAACAACAGGUUUUUCAUGACUGAUAACACAAAAGAGAAAAACAUCACGAUAACAGUGAGAGAAGUAACAGCAGCAGACAGCGGGACGUACUGGUGUGGAGCAGAAACAAAACAACAACAACGCAGCAACAAGUUCUUCAACAGACUGUUUCUGACAGUACAACCAGCACCACCUUCAUCCUCUACCCCUUUAACUACAACAACCACUACAACUGCUAAGAGUCAUGUCACCUUUGGGAUUACCACUGCUGUGAUCAUCGGCGUGGCUGUGUUUCUGAUCGGUUUCUUUCUUAUUUACAUACGAGUUUCAUGUAUAAAAAACAAAGGAAUUAGUGCAUCAUUGCAGCACGUCAAAGAGGACUCUGCCUAUGAGGAAAUCCAGGAGCGCCUCCAGACGCCAGGAAAUGCAGUGGACUCGAUUUAUGUCACUGCCGGCAGGUACACAGAUGUUACCUCCUUACAUUACUCUACCAUCAACUUUCAGAGCCACUCUCAGGAAGCUGGUGGUGAGGAAGUGAAUCCCAGCACGUCUGCCUGUGAAUAUUCUACUGUGGAUUUCAGAAAACGUCCAGAUAACUCAACCGUCACUCAACCAUCCAGACCAGCAGAGGAGAAUCUCUACUCAGCAGUCAAUGAGCUAGAGCAAAUAUGA
rnacentral:lncRNA from 1 species